rnacentral:rRNA from 1 species
UACGUAGGUGGCUAGCGUUGUCCGGAUUUACUGGGCGUAAAGAGCGCGCAGGCGGUCGUUCAAGUCGCGUGUGAAAGCCCCCGGCUCAACUGGGGAGGGUCACGCGAUACUGAUCGACUCGAAGGCAGGAGAGGGUAGUGGAAUUCCCGGUGUAGUGGUGAAAUGCGUAGAUAUCGGGAGGAACACCAGUGGCGAAGGCGGGUCUCUGGACAGUUCCUGACGCUGAGGCACGAAGGGUCAGGGGAGCAAACGGGG